rnacentral:rRNA from 1 species
GACGUAGGGCGCGAGCGUUGUCCGGAUUUAUUGGGCGUAAAGAGCUCGUAGGCGGCUUGUCGCGUCGACUGUGAAAACCCGAGGCUUAACCUCGGGCCUGCAGUCGAUACGGGCAGACUAGAGUUCGGUAGGGGAGACUGGAAUUCCUGGUGUAGCGGUGAAAUGCGCAGAUAUCAGGAGGAACACCGGUGGCGAAGGCGGGUCUCUGGGCCGAUACUGACGCUGAGGAGCGAAAGCGUGGGGAGCGAACAGG